GACGUGCCGGACGGCGUCGCGUUCCUGCACCUUGGGGAUGGCUUUGGGUUGAAUUCCCCUCCAUGCAAUCUUGUGCUCCUUUGGGUGUUUCUAAUCUUUCUGCCUUCUAGCGUAAAUAGAGAGAUGUUCUCCCAUCGCUAUUGGCUGUCAAAUUAGCGAUGCAAUCCAUCCCUAUGUCGGCACAAUCAGCAGAACAAAGCAGCUACCAUGAUUUGCCCACUGAUCUCUUGGAGUGAUUCAAACCUGCAAGCACCAGGAUUGAGUGACUCCUGCAUAUGAUGACUGAAGAAUUUUUCAUCAAUUUUCCAACCUGAAUUAGCUACAGAAGGGAAAAGAGGAGUCCAGGCUCUGAUGAACACACCGUCUU